rnacentral:rRNA from 1 species
AGCAGCCGCGGUAAUUCCAGCUCCAAUAGCGUAUAUUAAAGUUGUUGCAGUUAAAAAGCUCGUAGUUGAAUUUCGGGAUUGACACAUCGGUCGUGCCUUAAGGGGUAUGAACUGGUGUAGUCAAUUUCUCACCUUCUGGAGAACCGCAAUGCCCUUAAUUGGGUGUCGCGGGGGACCAGGACCUUUACUUUGAAAAAAUUAGAGUGUUUAAAGCAGGCAUUUUGCUUGAAUACAUUAGCAUGGAAUAAUAAAAUAGGACGGCAUGAUUCUAUUUUGUUGGUUUCUAGGAUCACCGUAAUGAUUAAUAGGGAUAGUUGGGGGCAUUAGUAUUCAAUUGUCAGAGGUGAAAUUCUUGGAUUUAUUGAAGACUAACUACUGCGAAAGCAUUUGCCAAGGAUGUUUUCAUUAAUCAAGAACGAAAGUUAGGGGAUCGAAGACGAUCAGAUACCG